rnacentral:rRNA from 1 species
GAUGAACGCUGGCGGCGUGCUUAACACAUGCAAGUCGAACGGUGAAGCAGGAGCUUGCUCUUGUGGAUCAGUGGCGAACGGGUGAGUAACACGUGAGCAACCUGCCCCUGACUCUGGGAUAAGCGCUGGAAACGGCGUCUAAUACUGGAUAUGUGAUGUGACCGCAUGGUCUGCAUAUGGAAUGAAUUUCGGUUGGGGAUGGGCUCGCGGCCUAUCAGCUUGUUGGUGAGGUAAUGGCUCACCCAGGCAUCGACGGGUAGCCGGCCUGAGAUGGUGACCGGCCACACUGGGACGGAGACACGGCACAGACUCCUACGGGAGGCAGCAGUGGGGAAUAUUGCACAAUGGGCGGAAGCCUGAUCCAGCAAAGCCGCGUGAAGGAUAGCGGGCUUCGGGUUGUAAACCUCUUUUAGCAGGGAAGAAGCGAAAGUGACGGUACCUGCAGAAAAAGCACCGGCUAACUACGUGCCAGCAGCCGCGGUAA